rnacentral:tRNA from 1 species
GGGACUGUGGCUCAGUGGUGGAGCACUUGCCUAGCAUGUGUGAGGCCCUGGGUUCAAUCCUCAGCACCA